UACGGAGGGAGCUAGCGUUGUUCGGAAUUACUGAGCGUAAAGCGCGCGUAGGCGGCUUUGUAAGUUAGAGGUGAAAGCCCGGGGCUCAACCCCGGAACUGCCUUUAAGACUGCAUCGCUUGAAUCCGGGAGAGGUGAGUGGAAUUCCGAGUGUAGAGGUGAAAUUCGUAGAUAUUCGGAAGAACACCAGUGGCGAAGGCGGCUCACUGGACCGGCAUUGACGCUGAUGUGCGAAAGCGUGGGGAGCAAACAGG
rnacentral:rRNA from 1 species